GGGGAUUUAGCUCAGUGGUAGAGCGCUUGCCUAGCAAGCGUGAGGCCCUGGGUUCGGUCCCUGGCUCCG
rnacentral:tRNA from 1 species